AAUAUUGCGCAAUGGGGGGAACCCUGACGCAGCGACGCCGCGUGAGCGAAGAAGGCCUUCGGGUCGUAAAGCUCUGUCCUCAGGGAAGAAGAAAGUGACGGUACCUGAGAAGAAAGCCCCGGCUAACUACGUGCCAGCAGCCGCGGUAAUACGUAGGGGGCGAGCGUUGUCCGGAAUUACUGGGCGUAAAGGGUGCGUAGGCGGCUUCUUAAGUCAGAUGUGAAAGACCACAGCUUAACUGUGGGGUUGCAUUUGAAACUGGAGGGCUUGAGUAUCGGAGAGGGUAGUGGAAUUCCCAGUGUAGCGGUGGAAUGCGUAGAUAUUGGGAGGAACACCAGUGGCGAAGGCGACUACCUGGACGAAAACUGACGCUGAGGCGCGAAAGCGUGGGGAUCAAACA
rnacentral:rRNA from 1 species